rnacentral:misc_RNA from 1 species
CGUCGAAGGUGGGGCUGAUGACUGGGGUGAAGUCGUAACAAGGUAUCCGUACCGGAAGGUGCGGAUGGAUCACCUCCUAACAGGGAGACAAAACAAUGAUUUUGAUGUCUGAGUAAUUUAUUCUUAGGCCGAAAUCCUGUCACCUUAGGUCGAUCGGUACCUCAACAUUAUUUCAAAGAUUGAUGAGCAAUUAUCGAGAGAUUGAAAGAGAUGUUCAGUUCCUAAACUUUGUCUAGGUCACACCCCGCAAGGGAAGAGUCCCCUGGGCCAUUAGCUCAGGUGGUUAGAGCGCACCCCUGAUAAGGGUGAGGUCCCUGGUUCAAGUCCAGGAUGGCCCAUUCGGUGUUGGGGGUUUAGCUCAGUUGGUAGAGCGCCUGCUUUGCAAGCAGGAUGUCAGGAGUUCGAGUCUCCUAACCUCCACUGACCGAACUCAAUCUCCAUUGUCCGGUAACUCGGAGGAUAAACUCGAAGGAGUGUGAUUUAGAUGUGUCCACUAGAUUGGACCCCAGCUUCCUGUCAUUCCAGAUCACUAAGAAUUACUUGAUCGGUUGAUAAGAUGCUGGGCUCAGAUUAAUCGCAAGAUUAAUUUGAUGUCUAGUAGAACCUUGACAACUGCAUAGGUAAGUCUGGAAAAACAAAGCAUCUUACAGAUGUAUUGUUUUUGGUUUAAAUUCUCGAAAGGGAAUUUAGAUUUAGAACAAUAAAAAUUCUUUUGAGCAAGAGCCGAGACUCUUAGAUGUUCUUUGAUUCGUGUCGAGCGAAUCAGAGUUUGAUUUUGUUUUUAUGAGCAACGAAAGUUGUUGAUGAAGCCAGAAGAAUCUGCUUUCAACCGCAGUAAGCGUUUAAGAGGUUAAUUGGUCAAGCUACAAAGGGCUCACGGCGGA